rnacentral:rRNA from 1 species
UACGGAGGGGGCCAGCGUUGUUCGGAAUCAUUGGGCGUAAAGGGCGCGUAGGCGGCUUUGUAAGUCCGUUGUGAAGUCCCUCGGCUCAACCGAGGAACUGCGACGGAUACUGCUUGGCUUGAGUCCCGGAGAGGGUAGCGGAAUUCCCAGUGUAGCGGUGAAAUGCGUAGAUAUUGGGAGGAACAUCGGUGGCGAAGGCGGCUACCUGGACGGGUACUGACGCUGAGGCGCGAAAGCUAGGGGAGCAAACAGG